UACGUAGGGGGCUAGCGUUGUCCGGAAUCAUUGGGCGUAAAGAGCGUGUAGGCGGCCCGGUAAGUCCGCUGUGAAAGUCGGGGGCUCAACCCUCGGAUGCCGGUGGAUACUGUCGGGCUCGAGUACGGAAGAGGCGAGUGGAAUUCCUGGUGUAGCGGUGAAAUGCGCAGAUAUCAGGAAGAACACCAAUGGCGAAAGCAGCUCUCUGGGACGGUACUGACGCUGAGACGCGAAAGCGUGGGGAGCGAUCAGG
rnacentral:rRNA from 1 species